AUUGGCUUUACCCGAAGGCGUUUCGCUAACCGCAAGGAGGCAGGCGACCACGGUAGGGUCAGCGACUGGGGUGAAGUCGUAACAAGGUAGCCGUAGGUGAACCUGCAAAAGGAUCA
rnacentral:rRNA from 1 species